AGGGGAGUGUUCUCAGGAUCAAAUGAAUCAAUACUUUUUAAAGCGUUGGUAAACUAAGUCUCCAUAUGCAAUCAGAAGGCUGGCAGACGGACUUGCAAAGCCCCUUACAUUGCUACAAGGUUAAACAACUGAAAGAAGAAAAAGAGGACAAAGUGCAGCCUCUUUCGGAACUCAAACAUUUCUUGGCCGAAAGAGGCAAUUUUCCCAUGGGAGAAAGGCCUUAGCCAGAAGAACUGGCUUCCUGCCUGAAGGCGUGCAACCAGCCAGGAGGCCUCCAGGGCAUCGUGCCCUCCCGGUCUCCGGUUCUGCUGCCUGGGAGUGAACGUCCCCUGACGCGGUAGGGCUGGCGAGGCAGGCUCUGCAUGCGCCAGAGCUUCGCGCAGAGGGCGGGUGAGUUUGCGCCCUGCCUGAGCACAGCUUGGCAGCUGUUGCAGAAGGGCAGGGAGCCUGCCGUCUCAGAUGAGGGCCUCGGCUCCAAGUUCCAUUGUUAUCAAACAGAAGACUUCAGAAGAGGGAGUUCUCCCACUUAAUUUUCCACUAAUACGUUCGCGAGGCUUUUUAAUUGCUUGCAAAUGCAUUUUCUCUGUACGACUAUGGAAUCCGUGUUGCCUGUCGGCUGCAAGGCUAAGGCGGAAUACAGAUCCGUGUUAGGCUUUUGACAAACAGCCCAGGGGGCGGGGUAGGGUCGUGAAGGAGGAGGUUUUGAAAAAAAAAAAAAAAGAAGAAGAAAAAGAAGAAGAAGG
rnacentral:lncRNA from 10 species